UGCAUGCAAGUCCUUCAAAAACUGCAGCGUUUAAACGAUUUUUCUGUUUGGUUCGUUUCCUUGUAAAAAAAUUUCUUGCCAAUUUCAAAUUUUAAUUUGGAGAGCGGUUUAAAGAUGAAGACACAAAUUGACAACAGCGGUGGAUGCGAAUGUACCUGAAUUGGCAGCACGGAAACACGAGAAGGAGCAGGCGACGGAGCUUCAGCUUCUAUGGAAAGCGAAGGAGAAGGCGCCGGCGAGAGAUACUCAUCAUACGAGCUUCUUGCUCUGAAGCUCCUCAGUCCAAAGAAAAGCUGACUGGCUGAUGCUUGUUUUUCUUCUGUUCAUACUUUAUAGAUUUUGAAAGAGGUACACAAUCACCAACUAGAUCAUCGGCAUUUUAUGGAGAUUAGCUGUUAAUUACAUUAAAGCCACGUCUUGGUUUUAAGAACCGAACUAGACCGUUCGGUUCAAUUGGUUCGACCGAAAAUAAGAAGUAAAUUAAAGUUGAUUCCUCUUUAAAUAUUGUAUUCAACCUAUUCGAAUAAAAAACGGCAAAAUUAUUGAACC